rnacentral:lncRNA from 1 species
AUGUCCUCGGAGCUGGCUGCAGGUCUGGUCUUCAGGGUUGUGCUACCCCUCAGUCUGACUGCAGCUUGUGUGCUGCGGUUUAAUGGAUUCUCUCUGGUCUAUGUCGUCCUGCUGCUGCUGCUGCCCCUGGUACCAGACCCCUGCUCCUCCACAGGAAAUGCGAGUCGCUGUGUGACGGCCGUGUGUGUCUCCAGUUUCCUCUUCCUGUUACUGCAGUCCUUCUUCCAGGUGACGACUGCCACACUGCAGCCAGACUACAACUGUAAGAUACGUCUGUCUCUCGGUUUAACUGUCUAUGUUUAUAUCCCUUCUGCAUAUUUACCACCCGUCUCUCUGCAGGUACAUCGUGGCAGAAAGUUCUGAGUCAGCUCGGUCUGGUGAGUCUGACAGGAAGUGAUGCAGGGUCUGCAGUGAGACAGGUGUGUCCAGAUAUUGGUGUGCUGGUCGUUGGUCUGCUGACCUGGAGGCUACUUGUCACACUGAACGCCGACACACAUACACAGGUAACGCACACACAAACUAAAGAAGCAGGUGUAACCUUGUUAGGUCGUCUCCUCUUGUUUCUUAACGAGAU